UGCAGCGACGCCGCGUGAGGGAUGACGGCCUUCGGGUUGUAAACCUCUUUCAGUAGGGAAGAAGCGAAAGUGACGGUACCUGCAGAAGAAGCACCGGCUAACUACGUGCCAGCAGCCGCGGUAAUACGUAGGGUGCGAGCGUUAUCCGGAAUUAUUGGGCGUAAAGAGCUCGUAGGCGGUUUGUCGCGUCUGUCGUGAAAGUCCGGGGCUUAACCCCGGAUCUGCGGUGGGUACGGGCAGACUAGAGUGCAGUAGGGGAGACUGGAAUUCCUGGUGUAGCGGUGGAAUGCGCAGAUAUCAGGAGGAACACCGAUGGCGAAGGCAGGUCUCUGGGCUGUAACUGACGCUGAGGAGCGAAAGCAUGGGGAGCGAACAGGAUUAGAUACCCUGGUAGUCCAUGCCGUAAACGUUGGGCACUAGGUGUGGGGACCAUUCCACGGUUUCCGCGCCGCAGCUAACGCAUUAAGUGCCCCGCCUGGGGAGUACGGCCGCAAGGCUAAAACUCAAAGGAAUUGACGGGGGCCCGCACAAGCGGCGGAGCAUGCGGAUUAAUUCGAUGCAACGCGAAGAACCUUACCAAGGCUUGACAUGUUCUCGAUCGCCGUAGAGAUACGGUUUCCCCUUUGGGGCGGGAUCACAGGUGGUGCAUGGUUGUCGUCAGCUCGUGUCGUGAGAUGUUGGGUUAAGUCCCGCAACGAGCGCAACCCUCGUUCCAUGUUGCCAGCACGUAAUGGUGGGGACUCAUGGGAGACUGCCGGGGUCAACUCGGAGGAAGGUGGGGACGACGUCAAAUCAUCAUGCCCCUUAUGUCUUGGGCUUCACGCAUGCUACAAUGGCCGGUACAAUGGGUUGCGAUACUGUGAGGUGGAGCUAAUCCCAAAAAGCCGGUCUCAGUUCGGAUUGGGGUCUGCAACUCGACCCAUGAAGUCGGAGUCGCUAGUAAUCGCAGAU
rnacentral:rRNA from 1 species